GACGUAGGGCGCGAGCGUUGUCCGGAUUUAUUGGGCGUAAAGAGCUCGUAGGCGGCUUGUCGCGUCGUUCGUGAAAACCUGCGGCUCAACUGCAGGCUUGCGGUCGAUACGGGCAGGCUGGAGUUCGGUAGGGGAGACUGGAAUUCCUGGUGUAGCGGUGAAAUGCGCAGAUAUCAGGAGGAACACCGGUGGCGAAGGCGGCAUCCUGGACCGGCAUUGACGCUGAGGCGCGAAAGCUAGGGGAGCAAACGGG
rnacentral:rRNA from 1 species